UCUGGGAAUGGCUUCUUUAGUUCUUUGCGUAAGCUAGCAUUGCCACUAUUGCAUCGUGCAAAGCCUUACAUAGCCCGUACUGCGAUGAGCGCAGCGAAAAAUUUGGCGAAAAAGUUAUCUGAAGGGCAAAACAUCAAGCAAGCACUGAGAGCAAGCUCAAAUGAAUUAGGCACACAGAUUUUGAAGGACAUUGCAGGCAGCGGACAUCGAAGGAAAAAGAGGAAUAGAAGAGACAUUUUCGAUUAAUCCUCUGUAACCAUGAAAUAAAGAAGACACUUUUUUUUCAUAUGUUGAUGUUUCUUCCUUAUAAAGAAAAAAGGUUUUUCUAUGGAAAAGGGUCGCACUCCGAAAAUGGCGACCAAGAGGGGUUAGAAGUCGGGACAAUGGGUCGCCCCCUUUCACCUGUAGAAAGUGUGGCGGACAAUGCUUCGAAACGGCCAUCGCAUUCCGAAAUACAGGUGGCCCCAGGUAGGGCUGGCUUGUGAGGGUGUUGUCAAAAGGUAAAAGGGGGAUUGGAGGACAAUGAUUCCAAUCGUGAACGGGAUCGCAUUCAGAAAAGUGGUCGGCGGGGGGUUAGAGGAGUGGAACGGCUGAUGGUUAGCAAAAACGGACCAUGCUCGCCAGCGGACAAUGUCAAAUUGUAGGGGGACUGGAGGACAAUGAUUCCAAUUGUGAACAGGAUUGCAUUCUGAAAACAGCGGGUCAGUGGGGGGUUAAAAGUGUGCAUCAGCAUCCAAGCUGGUUAGAAGUUGAGCAAUGGGGCGCCUUUCACUUGUAGAAAGUGUGGUGGACAAUGCUUCGAAACGACCAUCGCAUUCCGAAAUACAGGUGGCCCAGGUAGGGUUGGGUUGAGAGGGCGAUGUCAAAAGGUAAAGGGGGAUUGGAAGAGUCUUUUUGCUCGGGUAAGAUGCUAACAAAUAAAGCUAUGAGGAAAGCAUUGUACCUUUUCAUUUGCAAAGAUGUCACAGGUCAACGUUGUACACGCACAGUCCCAGCUGGCUUUGAAGGGGGAGUGUGAGUUAUUCAACAUACCUCCGACCCAAGUUUCAAUAGAAUCAUGCGAGGCGCAAGUUUAUUAUCCUGUUUCUACAAUCAGCGGGGGAGAAUCGACGAUCGAAUGGAACAUAACAAAUCUCUCAGACUUGUAUCUCGAUUUAUCAUCUCUGUAUUUUAAUAUAACUAUGCAGAUAUUGAGGUCGGACGGGAGUGAACCAAUUACCCGAAGAGCAGAUGGUAUCACUGAGGACAUUGUAUUCCCAGUCAACAACUUGGGUGCCGCUUUAUUUAAAUAUGUAACCAUUCACUUGAAUCAACGUCUUGCAAGCAGCAACUGUUUGAACUCCUAUCGAUGUAUGAUUGAUACCCUACUUCAUACGAAUACUCAUCUGCAGAAGACUUUAGAUGAUUGUGCAAUGUAUACAUAUGAUACAGGAGAGCAUGCAGCAAAUGAUCCAGUCGCUCGGGAUGCAAAGUUGCGCAUAGCUAGGACAAGUGGGGGGAAACUAUUUGAAAUUGUCAUGAAAGUUAACACAGACCUCACAAACCAAGGGAGGCUUUUGUUACCCGGUGUGGGGGUUCGAGUGACUGCUCUACAUAAUACGGAUAGCUUUAGAUUGCUAACUGGCACCAAUGAAACUCAUAAGCAUCAAUUGAAAAUCCACAGCGCGGCACUUGUAGCACGCAAAGUCAAAGUUAGCAACUCAAGUUUUAUUGCACACCAGAAAGCCCUUAGAUCAUCCCCGGCAUGUUACAUCAUGCGUGGACUAGAAAGCAAAGUCCGCUCGCUUUCGCCGGGCCUUCAUGAUGCAAUCUUUGAAAACUUAUUCCCUGAUAGAAUUCCUGAUCAACUUACUGUAUGUCUAGUUCGCACCGAAGCUUAUCAGGGUGAUUACAAGUCGAGCCCCUUUUGUUUCGAACAUUUUAAUGUUAGUUCUGUAACACUAUCAGUUGAUGGACACAGGAAGCAACUAUCCUAUGACUGGGAAAAUGAUCUGGGUAGAGCAAGCUACUACGAAUUCUUGUAUCAACUGAAUGAAAAACAUGUUGAGUUGAGUUAUGAAAAAUAUAAAAAAAAUUCCUUUAUCAUGCAUUGGAACUUGAGUGCUGACGAAAGUUUUGGUUCCUACUUUAAUCCAUUGCGGAAGGGCAAUUGCAGGAUUGAAAUGAAGUUUGCUAAGCCAUUACCUUGCGCAGUGUCGGUUAUACUUAUUAGUGAAGCACCCAAGAUUUUAUCAGUUGAUGGUGAUCUUGUUGUUCGAGUGGACUAAGCAUGAAUGUGUUUGAUCUGGAAUUAUUGUUUUCUCUGAACCAUGAAACUUUGAAUCUGUAUCGCGGGACCUUCGCAAUUGAUAUGGUACCAAGUUUAACGACAGAAGGGUUUAUAGUUAUCAAUACACACCCACACGACGGUCCAGGAGAACACUGGCUAUUGUACAUGAGAGACAGGAAUGACAAGUACAUCUAUGUGGACAGCUUUGGUCUACCACCGAUUGAAGAAGAGCUGCUAGAUCUACCUGUUGAUCAGUACUGCGAGAAAUGCAUUCAAAGCAUUUACAGCUCACACUGUGGACUUUUUGUUUGUUUCUUUGCUUCCCGCCUUUGUAAGAAUUACCAACUCAAGAGCAUUGUUUCCUUAUUUGACAAUAACCUUGUACACAAUGACCUCAAGAUAAUAAAAAUGAUUGAAGAGGAAUACCUCAUUUAAAGAAAAAUGUCUCAUUUUAUUUCUUCAAUGUACAGACCUCUUUCAGAUAGUCCUCCAGACUCGACACCUUGCGACAACCAUCUUUCUUGCGACGCACGAUGUAUUCCGAGUGUUGGAUGUAAAAGUUUCGAAUUAUUGGUCGCUUGAGUCCAGCAUUAAGUAUGGUUGGAGAGAUAUUGUCACCCUGACGAUAUCGUCGCAACAAGUCACACUUGAUGGCGACGAAGCGUUGGAGCCUCCGACUAAUCUUUCCUCGUUUCGUCCGCAUCGGAAACGGGAGAAUUUGCAUAAUGAGACGAAAAUCGGCCUCUGGCCCGUUGCAGUUCAGAUAGGAGUUUAAUUUCAUCAAAUCCUUGUACAUCAGCCAUUGUACCGUCAAAGCAAAUCGUUCACUGGGCUUCAUGGUUGAUCCGAGCUUGGAUGGCAACCGAGAUAAGGUCGGAUGUUAUUGUCUAGCCAAUGAGAUGGAUUCGAUGACCACAAUCCACCACAACGACAGCGUCGCAGAUGCUCAUCAUAUUGUAUAAAGAAAGUUCUGGGUGGUGGCUUCAAUGUCUUCACAAGAGGAAGAUCCCCCGUCAGGAGACAAUCAGAAUCUUAACAAAGAAUCACAUUUUUAGAGAGGGAAAAACGGGAAAACUUUCUAUACAUACAAUCGUCCUCGGAGACCGCGUAGCACUUCUGCGCUUCCAUCGUCGACUGUGAGGGGGAUGUUGAAAAGGAAUCCGAUGGAGAGGAUGUGCAUACUUUCCCUAUUGGUUGCGUUUUUCCUUAGUUUGCAAUUGGUUGUUUACUACAAAGACUUUUGCUACAUGUGGAUUUCUCUAGCCCACCAUCUUGUUGCUAAAAGUUGUUUAUACAAAGUAGGAGAGGAUGUGAUAUGAUAAUGAGGAUGCGUCAGCUUUAAAAAAUGAAGAUUUGGUUCCUAGAGCAUCACUUGGAAGCAAUAUGGCCAACGAUGGUGUUUUCUCCAGUUUUGAAGAUGAUGAUGAUAGUGUGUUCACGUCGAGCCCUGUG